CCUACGGGGGGCAGCAGUGAGGAAUAUUGGUCAAUGGGCGCGAGCCUGAACCAGCCAAGUCGCGUGAGGGAAGACGGCCCUACGGGUUGUAAACCUCUUUUGCCGGGGAGCAACGGGCGCCACGUGUGGCGCCACUGAGAGUACCCGGAGAAAAAGCAUCGGCUAACUCCGUGCCAGCAGCCGCGGUAAUACGGAGGAUGCGAGCGUUAUCCGGAUUUAUUGGGUUUAAAGGGUGCGUAGGCGGAGCGUUAAGUCAGUGGUCAAAUUGAGGGGCUCAACCCCUUCCCGCCAUUGAAACUGGCGCUCUUGAGUGGAAGAGAAGUAUGCGGAAUGCGUGGUGUAGCGGUGAAAUGCAUAGAUAUCACGCAGAACCCCGAUUGCGAAGGCAGCAUGCCGUGCCGCCACUGACGCUGGGGCACGAAAGCGCGGGGAUCGAACAGGAUUAGAUACCCCGGUAGUC
rnacentral:rRNA from 1 species